rnacentral:rRNA from 1 species
UACGGGGGGGGCAAGCGUUGUUCGGAAUUACUGGGCGUAAAGGGUUCGUAGGUGGCUGGCUAAGUCAGACGUGAAAUCCCUCAGCUUAACUGGGGAACUGCGUCUGAGACUGGUCGGCUUGAGUGCAGGAGAGGAACGCGGAAUUCCAGGUGUAGCGGUGAAAUGCGUAGAGAUCGGGAGGAACAUCAGUUGCGAAGGCGGCUCUCUGGACCAGCACUGACACUGAGGCACGAAAGCGUGGGGAGCAAACAGG